rnacentral:tRNA from 1 species
GCAUUGGUGGGUCAAUGGUAGAAUUCCUGCCUUCUGUGCAGGAGACCUGGGUUUGAUUUCCAGCCACUGCA